AACUUGUCUAAGGGUUGUAAGUUAUUGUUAAACUGUUUAGCAUUUUUUCCUACCCACAGCCAUACUUGACUAGCUUCAC
ensembl:misc_RNA Y_RNA Y RNA